rnacentral:tRNA from 1 species
UGGCUCAGUCAGUAGAGCAUGAGACUCUCGAUCUCAGGGGAGUGAGUUUGAGCCCCAC